rnacentral:piRNA from 1 species
UUCAUAGAAAAUAUUGUUUUCUCAGCUUGC